UACUUGGUCUCAAUAUCCCUAAUUUUUUUCAGUUACUCUGGGAUCAGGGAAUCCAUUUAAUAAUAAGCAAAUGGUUUGUGGGUUACCUCCAAUUAACUGCUCAAUCAAACGAAUUCUGCUCUCAUAUUAUUUGGCUGUGUUAGCUUCAUCUUACAUAUUUCAUUUGUGAAAUUAUGGUUAUUUUUCUACUAACUAUCCCUAUUCAUCAAAGUUCUGAUCUUAAACUGCAGCUAAACACAAAAUUAACGUUCACAAACACGUAUACGAGGGUGCUGCAAGGUUCUGUCACUAAUGGACUUCCGUAGUUUUUAGAGUUGUGCCAAAAUUCCAUUACGCGGAUGCCAAAAAGAGGACUUUCGAAAAAAAUCUAAGCAAAGAAUACUUUCUGAUAAAAAUAAUCAAUGCUCGUAUUAAUAUGCGAAUUCUGUAAAUUUUUUCGUAUUAAGCCACGUUCACGUGUUGUGUUUAAUUAAACCUACAAGUACCUUAUAUCACACCAUAAACUAAAAGGACUGUUGCAAGCAAUAAACGUUCCCUAUCAUUACCGGUAGUUGUUUGAAAGUUACGUUAGACAACUGUACAGCACCCGAAGUAACAAAAUAACAG
rnacentral:lncRNA from 1 species